CCAAGCUCGUUAGUGGAGCGAUGGGCUAGGCCAACGGGCCUAAGCCCCAAGUAGAUAGCAAACAAAAGAUACUCCUUCUUUGAUGUUAUCUUUAUCGUCAAAACAGUAAGACUAAAUUAUUCUAACUUGGAUUACAUUAUAUUAAAACACUGACAAAGGAACACUGUGAAACAUCACAUAAUACGAUGACAGUGACGCACAUUUCCCGGAAAGGGAGUUACUAACACAACAGCGCGACAAACAAACAUGUGACAUUAACACGCAACAGAAUCAAGGAAUCUAGCUUAACAUAACAAUAACAGUAACUGAAGUUUACAAAACCUAAAACGUUACAGCUGCAACAUUAAAUGACCUUCCAAUCAACAUCAAUGGAGAGCAUUUGACAAGAAAUUCGAAAUUUUUCUCUGGAUCAGAUUAUCAAUCAAACUAAUCAACAUUGAUUCUACUGACUCUACUGACUUUACUCACUGCCACAAAUAUGGCUGUGAAGAAGUAUUACUACUUGAGAGCCCCCUGUGUCUUAUACGUGUUAAGCCUUUGAUGAUAGAGAAUGGUUAAGAACAAAUAAGAAUGGUGGUACUGAUAGCUUUUGAUUACAUCCUAAUCAACAGCUUUUGAUCAGAGGAUUACAAUAAGAGCAUGGUUUGAUGGCACUGAUAUUUUCCAUCAGGAAAUUGAACUUUCUGAUUGGUAGAGUAAGUGUAGUGAAUUUCCAAUUUUUCUUGUUUUGAACAGAAAUAUGGAACCUUAACCCUUAUUUUUCAAUUUUUUAUUAUUUGUUUUUACAUUAAGGCUGUCCAUCAAAUAUUCCAAAUGUGAUGAAAGAAUUAUAACGCACGCAUUAUAACGCACGAAACCAGAGCAGUUAUAGUAUAUCAAAUCGAUAACUACACUUUGGAUAAAUAGAAAACUAGCUGACAGUAAAGCCCACUACGCGAACCCCCCUGCACAGCCUCCUACCACCCCAAUAGAUAAUAGUAACAUUAGCCUAGAAAAGACAAGAACAGCCCCCUACAACCAGAAAGAUUAGCCUCGGAAAGACAAGAGAUGUAUCAACCUCGAUUUAAAAAUAAUUAGCUCCGUAUAGGUCACAUGAUAAAAAAAUUACUUGCCCUCUUGUGACUAUCACUAGGAAGGAAGGGGGCAGCCUCUACCCCAUUUCUAUCUCAGGCGACCCCGUUUCCACUCCGUUUCUUAUUAUUUCGUUUGCAAGAGCCAUAUAAUUCCUGCUUUUGACGAUCUUCCUUUUUGUUUUAGUAGCUACGUACACCCGCUGCUGCCCAUUUUUUGGUUUUGCGAUGGCUGCUGGCUGCUCCCCUUCUUCACUGGCAUCAGAAUCGAUGGCAUGCGAGUACAAAUGAACGAUCGGAUUCACUGACAUCUUGGUAAAACAAAUCAAAGAGCGUUUCAAGCAAUAAUUAUGACGCAGACGUGAUUCUCGGACCUUCUAAACGAAAUUUAUGGCAUUUAUGCUGGCGUUAAAUCGAACAAAGAAACGAGAAAAAACCAUGACUGUGAAGAAACGGACUAAAGUUAUAUAGGUUAGCUGUUGUCCAUAAAUUGCAUUUUGUUAAUUUGUUGUUGGAGUAAGAAUCCUUUCUGAUGCACCUAUUGCAUAUUUUCUAUUAUAUUGUACAGCAAACAAUCUAGUAUAUCCUCGAAACGAGCAGAGGAAGCAUGUAAUAAUGCAUAUAACUGGAAAACUUCCACAUAAAUGCCAGGAAUUUCUUCCUCUUCAAGUGGAGAGAUAUGAGAAAGUUUGACUGACUGAUUGACGAACGGACUGACUGAUUUAUUGAAAGUAUUAGCAAACAUUAAGUAAACAAGAUAAAAUAAUAUUAUAGUUCUAUUAUUUAAUCUUGACUAAACGUCGUCUAUCACUUGCCGAGUGCAGUGUUUAAAUCUAAGAUAAUCGAUUUGCAAGGCCAGCCACGACCUUACCUAUUCGAAUGUAGCCAGAACUUUUUGUAUGUGGAAUGCGACGCUUUGGGGCUGACUGCUAUUGUGGUUAUCGUUUCUCUUAAAAACCUGGUUUUUAACAUGAUUUAUGUGAAGGCUUACCAAGCAGCACGUCAACAACACACUCCUUUACUUAUUUGUGGUUAUGUGGAGUUCUGAAACUCGCUGAAGAUAAGAUGCCGUCCUUUGACCGUUUUCGGUUUCAACGCAGUCACUGUCAUAAGUUCCCGUUUUAGUUUGAAUAAGUCCCCUUUCUUGCCAUGUGGAGAACGCAAUCUAUUCACCCUUUCCGCCAGAAACUAAAAAUUGUCAAAAAGAAGUGGUCAACCCCCCGAAAAUUGUAUUUAUAGGUUUUUGAACUCCCGCCACAAGU